UACGUAGGGUGCGAGCGUUAAUCGGAAUUACUGGGCGUAAAGCGUGCGCAGGCGGUGAGCUGUGUCCGAUGUGAAAGCCCCGGACUUAACCUGGGAAUGGCAUUGGAAACUGGCUCGCUGGAGUGUGGCAGAGGGGGGUGGAAUUCCGCGUGUAGCAGUGAAAUGCGUAGAGAUGCGGAGGAACACCGAUGGCGAAGGCAGCCCCCUGGGCUAACACUGACGCUCAGGCACGAAAGCGUGGGGAGCAAACAGG
rnacentral:rRNA from 1 species